UGCUCUUGCACUCGGCGGGACGCCGUUACGUAACGGCGCGGCGAGACUGCGUCUGGUAUUCAGGUGACAUCUUUGCGGGAAUAACCGUCGCUGGAGAUCCUCGUUCCGAGGAGACUCAGGACUCGUGGGAAGAUCCGACGCCAUUUAUGAGGUUAUGGUCAGUUGCACAACGGCAAGGAAUUCAGAAGUCCCAUAGAAGCCCAGAUCCUAUGUGAAGGUUACGAUGACGCUAAAGACCGCCGAAAAUUCCACGGCUGACGUUCUUCGUGAACUUGAGCGUCAAGGUUGGUCGGGGACACCACGUUGGAGGUUUUCUAAUUCUAAAUAUACCAUUUCGGGGUCCCCCAGAGGAGCUGGACCGAGGAGGGAAACGGUAAUCUCUUGGUCGGAACGAGGGAAAAAGAAUCCACUGAUUUGAAUUCCACGCCAUGAUGAAUGCAACGAUCGGGCGGUUAUUAAGGCAGCCGCUCGAUUAUGACAGGAAAUCAUGAAAAUUUAUGAGAUACUGGCCACUAUACUACCGAGGAAUACUAUUAUCUUGCGAUUUUAUCGGAAACUAACCGGAUAGAAAACGUAACAGAUAUUUUUGUCGAUCAAUAGUUAUGUAAACUAAUAAUUAUUGAACCACUUCGACAUUUUUUGCACAUUGAUAUGUUUUAAAUUUCGUAACAAAUUUGGAAGGUUAAACUAUGUUCGAAAUAAAAUGAAGAAGAAAUAAGUGAAAUUUAUGAGAUACUGACCACUAUACUACCGAGGAAUACUAUUAUCUUGCGAUUUUAUCGAAAACUAACCGGAUGGAAAACGUAACAGAUAUUUUUGUCAAUCAAUAGUUACGCAAACUAAUAAUUGUCAGCCUAAUAAACUAGUAGAGGAAAUGAAUAAAUUAGCAAAUGAAUGGAUCAGUAAAUAAGUAUCUCAUAAGUCAAGAGGCAUUGUCCCAAAAUAUAUGCGCGGUAAUACUGGUCAUUUAUUAUCAUUAGAAAAUGGACGGCGAGUGUUUAAGUAUUUCUUAGACUCUAUUAAAAAUACCUAAACGUCCGUCUAGGACGUUCAGGACGGACAAACAUUUUAUGUUCCCAACUGUGAACAUAAAAAAAGAAAAAAAAAAGAGCAACUCACGCAGUUUUAUCGCGUGUUUAUUAUCAUACACAUAAAUCUGAAAACAUAAUUCCAUUUCAUUAUCUUUGCCUCUUUAAAGCGUGAACCAUUCCAAGUAUUAAAUAGCGAAACGAGUGGUUAAACAAAUGAAAUUGAAACGCGAAAAUUAAGGCAAGUCGAACACUAAAGACACAUACAUUAAGUACGUAGAAAAAUGCUUUAAGAAACAUUUAAUGAAUCGUGUGAGUCAUUUAGCAUGAAACAUCGGCAUAUCCGGUAA